rnacentral:rRNA from 1 species
UACGAGGGGGGGCAAGCGUUUGUUCGGAAUUAUUGGGGCGUAAAGGGUGCGUAGGCGGUCUGACAAGUCUGAUGUGAAAUCUAUGGGCUCAACCCAUAGUCUGCAUCGGAAACUGUCGGGCUUGAGUAUGGGGAGAGGUGAGUGGAAUUUCCGGUGUAGCGGUGAAAUGCGUAGAUAUCGGGAGGAACACCUGUGGCGAAAAGCGGCUCACUGGACCACAACUGAC